rnacentral:rRNA from 1 species
GACGAACGCUGGCGGCGUGCUUAACACAUGCAAGUCGAACGGAAAGGCCCUGCUUUUGUGGGGUGCUCGAGUGGCGAACGGGUGAGUAACACGUGAGUAACCUGCCCUUGACUUUGGGAUAACUUCAGGAAACUGGGGCUAAUACCGGAUAGGAGCUCCUGCUGCAUGGUGGGGGUUGGAAAGUUUCGGCGGUUGGGGAUGGACUCGCGGCUUAUCAGCUUGUUGGUGGGGUAGUGGCUUACCAAGGCUUUGACGGGUAGCCGGCCUGAGAGGGUGACCGGCCACCAUGGGGACUGGAUAACGCCCCGAACCCUUACGGAGGGCGGAGGUGGGGAAAAUUCAACAAGGGCGGAAGCCUGGUGGAGGCACGCCGGCGGGCGGAUGACGGCCUUCGGGUUGUAAACCGCUUUCGCCUGUGACGAAGCGUGAGUGACGGUAAUGGGUAAAGAAGCACCGGCUAACUACGUG